rnacentral:tRNA from 2 species
GGAGGAUUCGCAUAGCGGCCGAGUGCGCACGCUUGGAAAGCGUGUAAUGGGUUAAACCAUUCGAGGGUUCAAAUCCCUCAUCCUCCGCCA